GUUUGAUUCCUUAUUUUGUCGCCGAGGAUUGCAGCUACAUUUUUGAAGGUUGGUUGUUCUCGUCGGACAUCAGGAUUUUAAAGUAUUCCGGUAUUGAAUUAACAAAACAAUACACGAAAAAAUGACUCGAUAUUAAAUUAUUUAGGAAUACAGCAUGUAUUUUUGCAAUAAUUUAAUAUCAUCCCCAGACCUACAACAAAGUGCACACCAGCAGAGAUUUUUGUAAAAUUUGAAUGAACAGCUGC
rnacentral:lncRNA from 1 species